UUUUAUAUCUCUCUGAUCUCUUUAAUAUCCUCUCUCUAUCCUCUUACAGAACAUUAAAUACAUUGUUUCUCCAUUUGUAGGUUAAAAUAUGUUACCAAAAUUGUUCUGUACAAUAAUCUUCAUUAUUAUUGUCGGGGGUGUAGAAACUUCUGGACGACUGGAUGUGUACAUGAACUCUGUACUGCAAAAGAAAACAAUGAACAACAAUACAAAUCUUGAGAAUAUUCUUCAAACUCUACUAGGAAGAAGUUGUACUGAGGUGAGGUUUGAAGGUUUAGAGUCUGAUUUAACCAAACUUGGAUUUCAUCAAACCUAUAAUUCACAG